rnacentral:lncRNA from 1 species
AGGAGGAGAAACUCAGAAGAGCUGAGCGGCGCAUAUACAUUCAAUCCUCUCCCUCAUUUUCAAGGGAGUCAAUGAAAAUAUAGUUAGUUUAUUAUCUAAUAGAGAGAGUUGCAUGUGUUUUAGACACUCAACCUACCAAUGAAUCAAACUAUCAUUUAAACUCGCACAACAACAUUGUUUCUGUUUCCGAACUCAACCGCACCACCAACGGUAUUGAAUCUGCAUCUCACGCUGUCAACCUCUCUUCAACGGUAAGUUACUCCGUCUUCAUCGUCAUUAUUGUGUGUAACGAUGCUCAAUGUCUCGAGCUCAAUACGGAAAACAACUGGAUCUGCAGCAAGAUCAGCGUCAUCCAUCGAGGUUCAAGUGGUUUUUUCAAUUUGAUUAUCUCUGUUUACCAUGUUCUAAUUUAUUUUUCAUUUGCUGUUUGUGCGUAUCAUGUCGGCAUUUUUCGUUUCAUUCUUUUAGUGUUUGAUAUGUAUGUCACUGGUUUAAGAGUGUUGUUGUUGUUUUCAACAUGUUAUGAUUCUCGAAUGUACAGGUUUCGGUUUUGCUCAGUUUCAUAUUAAUCUUGAUAGGGGCUUCUGUUGAGCUAAGGUGGUGAUAUUUAUUUGGGUCAAUUCAGAUUGGGUUAGUGUUUGUAUUGAUGUGCGUAUUUCGGUUAUCUAUUGCGGUCUAAUUAUUCCAUGUUUGCACUGGAUUUUGAUGCUAUAAUAAUGAUGGUGUGACACUUAUGCAAUGUUGAGAAUAUAUUCUGUGUUGAUGCUAGUUUGACUUGCAUGUAAAUUACAAUCACUCUCUUGUGUUAACACCAUCUUAAAUUUAUAACAUGCUUAUAUAUUGGUAUGCUUAGACUUUACGUUUGACAGUUUUGUUAUGAAUCUUCAUAUGUCGUCAUUUUUCAUACUAAGAAAAUAGUACACUCACUUUUUCAGCUAGAAACCUCCUUUGAGUUUAAUAUUAGUCAUGGCAUGAGAAAAUGUUAUUGAUAUAAGUUAUUUAGGACUUGUUUGGUUUGAGAUAAUGUUUCUUGUGUUUACCAAUAAUUACAAGUUUCUACAAAAUUAUUACUUCAUUGUUUUCAAAAAUAAUUAAAAGGCUUUCAUUGUUUCAUAUACAAACACCAGUAUUUGAAAUAGGGAGUGCAAUGAAAAUAAGGUGGUUACUUUUGUAAGUGUUAAUGAAAACUAGAAAUGAACAUAAGGAAUUUUAACUGUAAUAAAAUAUGUUGAAGUUAGCCAUGAAUAUUCUAAUAAGUAAACUCACAUGUUAUAGUUAGGGCCAAUUGCAUUAUGUUGUUUUUCUUUUUGACUGAAAAAGUAUUUUAUGAGAAUAUUUUAUGAGAUCUUUCAAUGUGGGAUGUUGGCUACUUAGGACUCGUUGUAGUGUCUUUUCACCUUGAAAAUAUAUUUUAUGAGAUCUUUCAAUGUGGGAUGUUGGCUACUUAGGACUCGUUGUAGUGUCUUUUCACCUUGAAAAGUAUUGAGUAAAAUUAUUAGGAUGUAAAUAUUUGAUUAUCUACUCAAUUUUGUCCAAUUUUAUAGAAUUAUUUCCAUAUACCAAGAGAAAGGUUCCUAACAUGAGUGCAGCUAACUUAUUUUAAUAGAAUAUAACUUUCUUUAUUUUUAGAUUGGUCCACCUAAAUAAAACCAAAUUUCCAAAAUCAAACAAUUCUCAAUUCAAUGUUGAAUCCGGUUUCAAAUACCUUUGUAAGUCAAUCACUUUAAGCAUCACCAUCAACCUCACAUAGCUUACUCUUGGGCUUUCUUACAAUGAGACCUAUUCGGUUAUUAGAUGAUCGAUUAGGUGAUUAAUUCACUAAAAUAUAAUUUGUUUACAAACACAAAUUCAAAUCUCGAUCCAAUAUCGAGUAUUUUUAUUCAAAUUAAUUUAAAAAUACCUACUCCGAUUAAACACCAUUUUAUUUAGAAAUGAAAAGGGGGAUGGUUUUGAGUUUUCAACUCCUCUCCUCGAUUAUUUGAAUAUGAGUUCUCUUACUCGGUUAGUCAGAUAAUUGUCAUUUCUAAUUCGCCUAAACAAUCAAAUCAAAUCAUUUUAUAAUAAGAAACGAAAAGGGAGAUAACUUCGAGUCUUCAAUUUUUCUCCUCGAUUAUUUGGAUACAAGUUCUCUUAUUUGGUUAGUUAAAUAAUCGUUGUUCUUCCGCAAACUUAUAAACCCGAUAAAAUCAAAUUAUUUUCAUAAUAAGCUAAAUGAAAAGGGAGAUGACUUUGAGUUUUCAACUUCUCUCCUCAAUUGUUUGAAUAUGAGUUCUCUUACUCGGUCAGUCGAACAAUUGUCAUUUUUCCACAAAUUAAUAAAUCAAUCAAAGCUAUACGAAAAGGGAGAUGGUCUUGAGUUUUCAAUUCCUCUUCUCAAAUGCUUGGAUGUGAGUCAUUUUACUCAUUCGUUCAAGUACUUUUCGUUUAUUCUAAAAACGUUAACCAUACAUAAAUCUUAUUUUCAUAAAUAUUCAGAUGAAACAGAAAGCGGUUUAGAGUCUUCUAUUCCCUUUCUCGAUUAUUAGGAUACGAGUUGCCUUACUCGAUUAUCCGAGUAUUCGUCAUCCUUUCAAAAUACUUUAACUACUAUCAAAUCUUUUUAUAAUUAAGGAUGAAAAAGAAAGUGGUUUAGAGUCUUCUACUCCCUUUCCCGACUGUUAGGAUACGAGUUGUCUUACUCGACUAUCCGAGUAAUCGUCAUCCAACCAAAAACAUCUCAACAUAACCAGUCAAACAAAAUAUCCAACAUAUUAAUCCAACUUGUCACCCUCGUGUGAUCAAAACUCUUUUCAUAAAGAACACUGUUUAAUCCUUUCUAAUGCGCACAACAAACUAGUGCUUAAGCCUCCGUCAAGAGUAGACAAGCCAACGUUUAGCCUUUAAGAUGCGAUCUAAACAGUUGUUCACUAAAAGACACCAACCAACCGUAGUUCCCCGAACUACGAAUGCUCUGACUUCCUUAUUGCACCAUAAGGAUACGUAGGCAGGAGAUUGUUGUAUCUUCGCGAGCACACGAAUAAAAAACCUCCCCUUUUCCCUUUCUGAGGUUCUCAUCCAUUUCUAUUUUCAAUAUUUUAUAACCCAAAGAUAAUAAACAAACAUAAAUUAACACUCGAAACACACAUUAGAACUAAAAGGUUCCCGUUGAGUACAACGGACGUAAGGGGUGCUAAUACCUUCCCCUUACCAUUAGGUGAGGGCUUGGGCUUAUACCAACGCAUGACCAUUAUUAUAUUUCCUAAAGGUUUUAUCGAUAUUUUCCUAUCCCUUCAUUGGGAUAAAUAAAGUUCGGUGGCGACUCUGUUCGAACAUAAAUUUUUCCGCGACCAUCGCGAGGAACCGUAUUUUUCGAGAUGCGACAAUCACCCCUGUAACCUUGGAUCUUCCUCCAUGUUUCUAUUUAAUGAGAAAUUAGAGCUUGAAAAUCAAGGUGCAGAAACUGAAAUGGCACGAUUCAUGAAAUUAAGACCACCAAUGGCCUGCCUCUUGCUCGAGGACUUCAGAAAACAGUUCAAACUCAAGCAAUUCACAUUGUAUUUCAAGAUCCAGAUCAAACAAGUUUAGUGAUAUACCUCUGAAAUGCAACUUUGAACAGCACGAUUUGCUCAAGUUAUUGAUCCAAUUUUGAUUUGGAGAUGUAAUGAGGAUGCAAGGCUAAGGAAUUAAGACUUGAAGAUCAACUAAUGAUGUUGAAAUUCAAGCUUGAAUUUGAAAAAUGAAAACUGAAAUUCCUUCAAGUGAGGUUGGGUUUUCACUUCAGCAGCUGAUCAGUCACCAUUUAUGCUAGACAUUCCACUAUUUAACCGUAAAUAAGUCAGGUAAACUGUGUAAACUGAAGCAUUUUUAGUUGGAUAUAAGCUCAAUUCUAUAAUAUUAAGUGUGUUGUUACUUAUGAGUUUCUUGAGGAUAUUUUACACUUUUUGGUAUGUUAGCAGGUAAAAAACUAGUUUGGAAGCUCAGGGAAUCAAACGUCAGAUGCGAAAUUGAGCCCGAGCAAGAAAACGGAAGAAAAAAAUCAAUUUUUGGAGAACCUGCUGUCCAUACGCGUAUGGCCUUACAUGAUACGCGUAUGGACCUGCCCAGUACGCGUAGCAUACGCAUAUGACCAGAGGGAUGGAAAAUCAAGCAAAAUAGCAAGCCUCUGGUGAUACGCGUAUGGGACUGGGCAGUACGCGUACCAGACUGGGCAAUACGCGUACCAGCCUGGGCAAUACGCGUAUCAGAGGCUGUCUUACGUGCAGUACGCGUAUGNNNNNNNNNNNNNNNNNNNNNNNNNNNNNNNNNNNNNNNNNNNNNNNNNNNNNNNNNNNNNNNNNNNNNNNNNNNNNNNNNNNNNNNNNNNNNNNNNNNNNNNNNNNNNNNNNNNNNNNNNNNNNNNNNNNNNNNNNNNNNNNNNNNNNNNNNNNNNNNNNNNNNNNNNNNNNNNNNNNNNNNNNNNNNNNNNNNNNNNNNNNNNNNNNNNNNNNNNNNNNNNNNNNNNNNNNNNNNNNNNNNNNNNNNNNNNNNNNNNNNNNNNNNNNNNNNNNNNNNNNNNNNNNNNNNNNNNNNNNNNNNNNNNNNNNNNNNNNNNNNNNNNNNNNNNNNNNNNNNNNNNNNNNNNNNNNNNNNNNNNNNNNNNNNNNNNNNNNNNNNNNNNNNNNNNNNNNNNNNNNNNNNNNNNNNNNCCAGGAGGCUCAGCCGACUGCAGCAGAGACACAGCCACCUCAGCCUCCUCCGAUUGAUGAGAACUCCAGAGAGUACCGGAUGCAGAUGUAACAGUUUUGUGUUAUGCAGGACUUCUGCUUUCAGUAUGGACUGUCAGGGAGAGUGCUUACUCAUCAGACAGAUCUUUGGGAGGAGGCACAGCGCUUUAGAGAUAGAUUCUCCGGACCGCCUCCAGCACCUCACUUUGGCCAGUUCACCUUUCCUUGGUGGAACCAGCCAGUUCAGAUAGGGGGAGAGAUUCCGCAGCAGCCAUCGCACCAGACACCACCUCAGCAGCAGCAUACUCCGUCGGGUCACACAGAGACGUUGACACCUAUCUCUGCCUUCGCACGAGGGCACACUAUGUUGGAUCCGACAUAUGAGAUUGACUUUGAUACCCAUAUGCAGGACGGUGGACUGGGUGAUUGAUUAUGUUUUUUUUUUUUGUACUUUUGUUUUUCUCUAUGUAUUUUUGUUUUUUAGGUUUAUUCAGUUUUUAUUUUAUUUUGCUUUGAUGUAAUCACCUAUUAUAGGUUGUCUUAAUCUAAUGAAUUUGAUUUGGUUUACCUCCAUUUUCCUAUUUAUUUCGUUAGAUACGUGACUAUGUCUGGCUAUUGGGUUUCUUGAUCACUUACACCAAAUACUUGGGGCGUCCUCUCUUUCAGUCCCCUGACUGUAGAUACUGUUGUUUAUGAUUGGACGCACUGGUUAAGAUUAACAUCAGAACCACGAGCAUGAGCUUUGAACUCAGAGGUAUGAUAGAACAAGUCAGCUUAACCCGUCCUGGUGAGAUCAGAAAAAGCCAAACACUUAUCAUCAUAUGAGAGAUAUCAGGUAUGUCUUUAUCAAUCUUAGUUUGCGUAUGUUCUUUUGUUAUUAUUAGCUGUACGACUACACACACUGAGGCAUUUUUUUGUUUAUCACCUAGAGCCUUUCUAGCCAUCCCAUUAUUAUUAUUAUCCAUUGUUUUACCCUGUUGAGCCUGUUAAUCAUUUAUUUUUGAUAUACCCCCUUUUUUUUUCUAAAGCCAUGACCUUGUACCUAUCCUACCCUGUUCAGAGUAUGUGAGGAUUGAUUUCAUCUCUACGUUUCUAUCUAAGUUUGGGGUUGCUGUUGGAAUAGCAACCUUUAAGUUUGGGGUAGCUUUGCAGUACGUGAAUAGUAAGUGAAUGUCGUAUAAAAGAAAGAAAAAAAAAAGAAGAAAAAAAAAGAAGAGAAAAAAAAAAAAAAAAAAAAAAACAACAACAACAUGAAAAGAAAGAAAGAGAAAAGCGAAAAACAAUAAAAGAACAGCUUUUGAAAAAUGCUACAUUCACUAUAGAUAAAAGGAAAAGAGGAUUGCAAAACCCUACAGGAAUAAUAGGAAAGAAACGUAGUGAGAGAAUGAUUUCAUGUACUCUGAACCAAAAGACCCAAAAACCGUUGUUCCAAUUUCAUACCCUACCUAAACCAAAGCCCCGUUACAACCCUAAAAGACCUCAAAAAGUGUGUGUGAUUGUACAUGUUGAUAGGAUGAGAGAAUUUAUUCAAACUUCUGAUUUGAUAUUGCAUAUUGUGAUUUGAGAGUGAUAACACUUUAACCCAGAGAGACUUGGUGAGAGUGUGAUAUAAGCUGACAGGUAAAGUCAUAUCUCUGAGGGAAAGAGUUUCUAGCUCGUUGGCUAUGUGGAAGAAUCAGAAAACCUGAAAAACAUCAAGAGGUCCAGUGCGAAAGAUUUCAGCAGUAUUGUGGUAAGAACUGUUUUACAGUAAGUUUGGGGUGACAUGAUCUUUGAUGGUAAUAAAAUGUUACUUGAGGACAAGCAACAAGCUAAGUUUGGGGUUGUGAUCAGUCACCAUUUAUGCUAGACAUUCCACUAUUUAACCGUAAAUAAGUCAGGUAAACUGUGUAAACUGAAGCAUUUUUAGUUAGAUAUAAGCUCAAUUCUAUAAUAUUAAGUGUGUUGUUACUUAUGAGUUUCUUGAGGAUAUUUUACACUUUUUGGUAUGUUAGCAGGUAAAAAACUAGUUUGGAAGCUCAGGGAAUCAAACGUCAGAUGCGAAAUUGAGCCCGAGCAAGAAAACGGAAGAAAAAAAUCAAUUUUUGGAGAACCUGCUGUCCAUACGCGUAUGGCCUUACAUGAUACGCGUAUGGACCUGCCCAGUACACGUAGCAUACGCAUAUGACCAGAGGGAUGGAAAAUCAAGCAAAAUAGCAAGCUUCUGGUGAUACGCGUAUGAGACUGGGCAGUACGCGUACCAGACUGGGCAAUACGCGUACCAGCCUGGGCAAUACGCGUAUCAGAGGCUGUCUUACGUGCAAUACGCGUAUGGGACAGCUCAGUACGCGUAUGGAGCACAAAAUCAGGAAAAGUCCAACUGAAUAGCUAUUAAGAGGGCAGAACACGAUUUUCCGGGGGUUGGACGAAUUGGAGAGAAAAGAGACGCGUUUUGAGAGCUGGAGACUCUACGAUUAUCAAAGGAUUCAUAUGUUCAAGAGUUUUCCGACGAUUGAAGAUUGAUUCCUCACGAAAUUCUGUAAUGACAACAAUGUUAAUCUUUGUUUUUAUUUCGAUUAUGAGUAGCUAAACCCCCCAUUGCUAGGGGGGUGACCCUGAUUCUGAAUGUGACAGAUUUUAUGUUUAUGAGUGCAUUGACUAUUUCUUCUUUUCCAUUGAUUUGUUCUUAUUACCGUUCUUUAUGCUUUAUUCGUCGGACCAACGAAUGAUGAUUAAUAUGAAUAGUUUAAGCUGGACAGCGAUUAUUCAUUGAUCUGGAUAAGAACUUUGGAUAGUAAAAAUAACCUAGGACUAGGGAUUUUCUAUCUGACCGGUAAUUCUUGAUAUUUGAAUGCUUGAGUAUGAACUUAAUUAUUUAUGGACAUAGUAAUUAGGUUACAUAAUCAAAGGUCUUUUCACUAAGGAAUUAGGAAUAGAUAAUCUGGAGGACCGGACUUAAUUGGAUAGGAAUAUUGUCUAAACCUUCAUAAAUUAUAUCUGUUGCAAGAAGUUUCAUUCACCAAACCCUAGCAAUCUUCUCUCAUUUGUAUCUCGCUCAACCUUUUUACUUGUUUUAUUUAUCUGCAAUUGGUAGUAUAAUUAAUCACAACACAAAAACCAAAGGCUUUUGUCUAAUUGAAACAAUCUAUAAACUCUGUGUCGUCAAGCAGUCCUUGAGAUCGACAAACGGGGAAUUUCCCUUUUAUUUCUACAGUGAGAAAAAUAGUACACUUGCUAUUUUCCCAUCGAGGUGUAAUGCUCGUGUGCAUGAAUUUUGGAUCCUCCAUGCAUGGGCCUGUACAGGCGCAUGUGAGGCCCAAAAUUGAACGGAAUUGCAUGCUGAGAUCAUUUUGAAGUGAAUUGGACGUGCACAAGGCCUGUCAUUUUCUUGCAUUUCAAGUUACAAAGUGAAUUGCAUAAUUGAUCGUAAACAUUAAGCCCUUCGAAAAUCACACAUGGGAAAUCCAAACAUGGUCAUGUGAGUAAUGGUUGGAAAGCUCUUGACAUAAGGAACAAAGGCUAUGUUGGGCAAAAAUCCAUUUGGAGUUUGAAAAUUUAUGAAAACUGGCUUUGAAGUUUGAGGUACAAAACAUGUCUAGGUUUCCUUAGAAUUUCUUUACCAAAAGUGAUCAACUUCAAGCCCUUCUAUUUCAAUGAUGCAAGCCUCAAAUGGAAACACCUCCCACAUCAAAGUUGUAGAUAGUUUCAAGAUGAUCAAUUUGGACUUAAAGUUUGAAUCAUUUGGAUUUUUAAUGAGAAAGCUAUGGGCACUUGAAGUUGGACAUUUUUCAAAUUCAAUGGUUUUGGUCCAAAGUGACCUAUAAUGCUUUGUAUUAUCACAUGUGUUUCUUUUAGGAUUAUGAAAUUUUGUCUAACAUAACAUUUGAAGUAGACAUCUUAAUAUUUCCAAUGAAAUUGGUAUCAUCUCAAAAUAAUAAAAAAUAAGGAAGUUAGGUCUUUGGGAAGUUGACUAAAAAUUAGGGUUUCAGUCAAAAUGACCUAUAAUGUUUUGAAAUGAAUGAUGACCUUCCAAGUUUCAAAUGGAUUUUUGAUGAACAUGAAAUUUGUUCAUAUAGUUCUUAAUAACAUUGUUUCUCUUGGGGUCAUAUUCAUUUGACAAACACAUCAAAAUUUGUGUCUCAGUGAUCCUCAGUUUAGUCAGAUGACUUGACUGGUCAACUUCUCAUGGCCAAACUUCAAAUCUUAAUGAAUGAAUGAUUGAGGAUACUCAAAUAGGCUCAUGUAUGCAUAAAAUAAUGAAUGAAAUAACUUCCCUUGAUUGAAUUUGAUCAUAGUUUGAGGUUGCUUUAUGAGCAAGGCAAAGUUAAUGCACAACUGAAUUAAGGUUUCCUUGAGAAACAAUCCUCAACCCCUUAGGGUUAUCUUAAUCAAAUUGGCAAACUGAGAUCCUUGGGGGACAUAUAUGAUGAUUGGGAGCUUUGUGGACCAUUGUCAUGCUUUUCCUUAUCUUCAUAUGGCCACUUUAUUGAGCAUAGGAGCCUCCUAGGAGCAGGGGAUCACAUAAUCACUUGAGCUUCAAAACAAAAGAGGUUAGUGACAUAUUUUUGUAUUUUUGGUUAGUUAAACAAAUAAGAAAAGCAAUAAUAUACAAUAAAAGCAUGCUUGGUGGUCUCAAACCAUCUCACACAAGUCCCAAACCUAGGGUUAAGGAGCCACACAUGCUAUGAUCCUUAAGGCAAAUGCAUUGAGCAAUGAUAUGAUGCCAUAAGGGAUCUUAUGGUCAAAAUUAGGGUCUUGCACCCAAUGAAUUUCCAGAGUUUGAAAGCUUGAGACAGAAGGUAGUGACCAUUACAGGAGUAUAAACCUUUUGACAAAUGACCCGACCAUAUAUGUUAUGUUUAUAAGCUUUGCGACCAAGUUGAUAUUCAUCCUCCAAAAUGGAGAUAGUGAUCAUGUCACCCUUCACACAUAUUUUUGGAAGUUGGCUAAGGGGAUAUCACAAAUAUUAUUCCCUACUUGUGCAAAAAAAUUGUUGGUUUUUUCUAUUAUAGGUGUCUUUUUUAUAAUGGUUUUGAUCGGCUUAUCAGUUCUUAGACAAGUCCAUUGAAUGAAGAAAGUAGUUAUUGGAGAAAGAUGAUAGAAUAAUAUCAAAAAUGGAGAGAUUCAGGUCAAAAAGCAAUGCAAUACUGCAACAAACAGUGCAUCAUCGACUCAAUCACAUUCUGAUAGAUAUCACUCUUUUCUGGUUUUGGUGGAUUCAUCUUUCAAUUGUUACUGGGUGGUAAUAAUUUUCUUAUUUGAAAAAAAAAUCAUCUUAGACAUGACUUAUUAAUUUGGAUGAUCAAUUCUACCGUUCAUUAGUAGGGUUAUAAUUAAAGCAUUUGUUUUGCAUGAAUAGUAAGAAUUUAAAUUUACAGGUCUUAUUUACGAAGUUUAUUUUUCUAAAAUGUAAAAUAAUUAUUAGGGAUAUUUUUAUCAAUAAUUUUUUAUAUUUAAAUAACUUUAAAAAAGAAUUGAAUAUCUCUUUAGUGUGAAACACAUUCUCAGUUCAUCACUCUCUGUUUCUAAGAGUUAUUAUUUUGAUUUUUUUAGGUUAAAAAACACGUUGAUGUAUUAUAUUGAGUUAAUUAAAAAUAUUUGUGUUUUUAUUAUUUCUCUUUUUUUAUAGAGAAAAAUCAUUGUGUAAAUAUGAUUUCUCAUUUUUUAUUUUAGAAUGUUUACCUUUGAUGUUUUUUACUUUUUUUAUUUCCUUUUAUUCUAUACUCAGGUUUUUUUCUUCAUGAAAAAUUCUAUUACAUUACCGUCAAGUGUUUUAAUAAGACAAACAUAGUUUUUGUCAUUAGUGAUUACUUCAGGUUUUGGCAUAAGUUAGAAAGACAAAUAGAAUGGUCAAAAGGAUCUCUAUUCACAUUACAAGUGACAAUACAUAUACAAGAGAAAGAUAAGCAGUCAUGAACCAAGAAUCAAGCUAACUUAAUGUACAAGCUAUCAAUGAGGAAACUAAUAAAGACAAAAUCAUAUACUCUAAUUACAUAUGAUUUGUGUAGCUAAUAACCAGGUACAAUGUAUCCAGAUAAUGCAUAUGGAGGGACAUGGUAUAAUGUAGCACUAUGUGACUCGUCUAACAACAUAUUCUCUGUAAUAUCUACAUUUUUUAUAAAUAUUAAAAAAGGCAGAAAUAUCUUUUGUGUUAUAAAAAAUGAAUAUAAAUGCUUGAGCUUUUAAUAUAUUAUAUUUGUAAUAACUGGUGUUUUGUAUAAAGUUAUAUAUAAUUAAGAUUAUGCAGAAAUAGCAGGCAGACGGACAACAAGCUGCCCCGCGAUUCCUUUUUGCAUGAUAAAAUCAAUCAUCUUAAAAACUACAUUCAUUGUUCUAGGUGACAAUGUUAGUGCAUGAGACACUUUUAGUGAGGAGAGAGAGAGAGAGAGAGAGAGAGAGAGAGAGAGAGAGAGAGAGAGAUUUCUAGGUGACAAUGUUAGUGCAUGAGACACUUUUAGUGAGGAGAGAGAGAGAGAGAGAGAGAGAGAGAGAGAGAGAGAGAGAGAGAGAGAGAGAGAGAGAAUACAGAUUGAUAUUAUUGAAUUACGAUUGUGUUACAAAACUGAAUUACAAAGUAUCUAUUUAUAUAUAACUAAGUAACUUGAGUACUAAGUAACUAACAUGACAAACCCUAAUUAACUUUGGGUUUGGGCUACACAACUUGGAUUAUAUCAGAAAAUACCCCCCAUAUAAUCCAAGUUGUCAAACAUACGCUAAUCAUAGUCGAUCUGAGCUAUUCGUAAUUUCUUUCUAAAAUUCAAGAAUAUGUCGAUCUUCAAUCCUUUGGUGAAAAUGUCGGUCAACUAUGUUUCACUUGAGCAAUGCCUUACUUCAAGUUCACCUCGAUUUACCUUCUCCCUUAAGAAGUGAAAUCUAACUUCGAUGUGCUUACUUCUUCCAUGUAGAAUUGAAUUCUUUGCAAGAUUUAUGGAUGACUUGUUAUCGAUAUGCAACACCAGAGGUUUCUUCACUUUGACCUCAAUCUCUUCCAGCACAUAUCUGAUCUCGAUUGCUUGACACACAUCAUAGGAUCCUGCUAUAUAUUCGGUCUCACACAAUGACAAUUCCACCACAUGUUAACUUCUCAAGCACCAUGAGAUUGGGGCACCAAAUUGUUUGUGUAAGCCCUAGAGGCCAAUACUUUUGGUACUUGUAUCGAAUUAUUUAUUAAUAAUAAAAGGCAUUUUUCUUUAUUAUGUUUGUUUAAUAAAGUCCCUGGAAUAGAUAGUCCAUUUAAUGUAUCAAGAGUAUAGCACUUAACAGAGAGCACAUUAAACAAAGGACACAUUUUAAAGUGUCCGUAGUCAAGCUUAUUAUGAAAGGAUAACAUAAAGCAUGGAGACAUAAUGUUGUAGACUGAUGAUCACGUCUCAUGGAUCAUGGUAAAGAGUUAUCAAGUCUUAAACAUAGGUAGAAUAUUAAGAGAAAUUCAUACUGGAUUGACCCGCUAUGAGAAUACAAUAAAAGUUAUGCAAGUGUGUCAUAAGUUAUUCUCAU